rnacentral:misc_RNA from 1 species
GUGAAUUCAAUUUUUCAGUUUACCGUUCUUAUUGUGCAAAUGUUGAAUUAAAUUGACAUACUUGGGUGUGGAAUAUCUGAUUUUAAUUCCAUACAUUGUUUCUCUGAUGGUUGGAACAGAUGCAUUGGGGGUAUGGUUGAGUAACAGAGUUUGUGGAAUAUUGUUAAUAUAUUGUAGAUUGGACUUUAAAUAAGUCAAAAAUCAACUAUUUGUUAGAAUGCCAUAUAGAAUUAAAAUCUGUGUUAGAGAAGUCUUGUUCCUAUGUGCCAGUGCUUGAUCAUUAUAUCAUAUUUCGCAGUGGAAGUGAUUG